rnacentral:rRNA from 1 species
AUGCUUCCAGGACCGCCACCACCUCUUCUUAUGGGAUAUCCCUCUGUGCCGAGCGCGUCACCCUCAGCUGCGCCGUCAUCAUCCAUAGGUGCCAGCAUCGCCAUCAUCGCUAUUGUCAUCAUUGCGUCGACCCUCGUGAUCUUGUGCAUUAAGGUCUUUUGCCGUAGCCCCCGCCCCCCUCGCCCAUCCUGGUCGCCAUUCUCUCGCCGCAGCAGCAUCUCCCGGAGGGCCUCAUCAUUAGGAGAGUCUGACAAGAAGCAUGCAGCGGAGGCAGCUGUUCAUGCUUCCCUGGGGGCCAGUGCUUCGUCUAGAAAGCAUGCAGAAGGUUUGGUGUUUGGGUUGAAGGUCCCUGUGCCAUCUGCGCCCUCUCUACCAGAGGUGGAGCAGGUGAUCUUGGGGUUGCUAUCACAACCCCGCGUGCUGUUGCAGCAGGGGAUGUUCUGCUGCAUCUGUGCCCAAAACUUUGUGCCUAGCGAUAUGAUCCUGUCCCUUCCGGCAUGCUUGCAUAAAUUCCACGAGCGGUGCAUUAUCCCAUGGAUUCGUGGCCAUGCACCUUACUGUUGUCCGUUCUGCGAUGCUUCUAUCACCAUGCCCUGCCCUGACCCUGACAAGACCCACAGCUCAGAUCGCUAUGACGUCGAGGCACAGACAAUGGUUGCGCCAGCUCCACCUGGAGAGGAGGUGGCAGAGGCUGUGGGGGGCUCUCGUGGGUGGCUGCGCUCUUCCCUGGACAGACUCUCGGGCAGCUGGAGGGGAUGCUCCAGCAGUCAUGCCACUGCAGUUGUAGUGCCGGUGUCCUCACGACGUACCACGGGGAGCUGGAGAGUCAACAACUCUGACAAGGAGGACGUAGAGGCUGUUGGCGGCUCUCAUGGGUGGCUAGGCUCUUUUCUGGCUACACUCUCAAGCACCUGGAGUGGACACUCAGACAGCCGUUCCACUACAAUGGUGUCAUCGGUGUCCUCAGGGUGCGCAACUGGAAGCCUGAGCCUGGUACUGAGUGGCUGCGGCAGUGCUGACUUGUGUUCCAGGAGCUGGGAUCCUGAGGCAGCCGUGCAGAAGACGUAG